AAAUAAUAACCGUCUUUGCCAUUUCUUCACGAUUGACUCCAUCAUUUUCAACGUCAGCAACAGUUACUGUUCAGGCAGGUGCUUAGUGUUAAUCGACCUUUACAUAUAUGUGUAAAUUAUGGUAUCGGUAAAUCUUUUAUAUAAAUUAUCACUCUGUAAAAGUGAAUGUAAUCAUUGUUUAAUAUAUAAAAUCGGAUGUUGUUAAUAUCCUGUUAGAUCGACGGAAGGACAGAAACAGCACACAUUCAUAAACGGGGUAAAUUAUUUUCUAUAUCUUUUACAUUUUUCGCUAAAGAGUUCUCUAAGAUGCUACAGAUCAGUUUGUUUGACUAAAACAGAUCGGUAUGUUUGUCCUUCUUUUUUCUUUAAAAAAAUGUUUUACCAUAUUUCAGACGUCUUUUUUUUUUAUUUGGCAAAAUAGGAUUCUAAAUUCUUUGUAAAGCUAGAUGGAUUCCAUUGUAGUAAAUAAUUGAUAUUGUAACUGGCAAUUUUAAAACAAUUAUUUUAAGCCCUCGAUCACCGAGUAUGAUGCCGGUUAAAAUAAACGUAACAUUUAUACUAAAUAAAAUUGAGAAUGGAAAGUGGGGAAUUUGUCAAAGCGACAACAACCCGACCAUAGAGCAGACAACAGCCGAAGGCCAACAAUGGAUCUACAAUGUAGCGAAAAACUCCCGCACCCGGAGGCGUCCUUCAGCUGGUCCCUAAACAAAUAUGUACACUAGUUCAGUGAUCAUGGACGUCAUUCUAAACUCCGAAUUAUACACAAGAAAUUAAAGUUAAAAAUCAUACAACACAACAAAGACCAGAGGCUCCUGACUUGGGACAGGCGCAAAAUUGCGGCGGGGUUAAACAUGUUUAAACAUCUCAACCCUCCCCCUAUACCUCUAGCCUAUGUAGAAAAAACAAACGUAAAACAAUACGCACAGUAAAACUCACUUUAACAGAGUCUGAUGUCAGAAUAUGAAACAAAAGAAAAUAAACAAAAUAUCUCGCAGUUGAUGCAAUAUUUCAGAGCUUGCGUAUCUUACAUGUCGAGGCCCUGCACACUACCUGUUGUUAUUGGUCCAGCGACUUUGAAUGAAUUACCAAUGUUGCUGUACAUCAUAUUGUGUUUUUCUGAAUUUUAUGCCGACAGGCGAGACAUAUAUCGGUGUCAACAGUUUAUUUGAUAUUUUAUCUAUGCAAUUGGUAUAGUUAUAAACCGAGCAGAACAAACUAAAUACUGGUAAAACAUAUUGUUGUUGCUGCCCUAUUGUGAUAAUGAUUGAUAACGACAGAAUAUUAAACACAUAGUGUCACAUGAUUGUUAUUCGUUUCAGGUACUAAUUUCUGAGAAUGAAAAUACAUAUAAUUGUACUACUAUUGUCCAUAGUACAAUCCUCUGACCAGUGUGAUUGUAAGGAUGACUCUAUUUACAUCAAUGGGGAAGAAAUUUCUGGGAACUUAUGUUCAGCAGAAACAAGUAAGUUGUUAGUGUCGAUUACGGGCUUUAUAAAAAAAAAUCUAAAAUAUAUGAAAGGAGGGAACCAGAUAAGUACGUC
rnacentral:lncRNA from 1 species